rnacentral:lncRNA from 1 species
ACUUUUCAGAAAACAGAAAGUCAGAAACACAAGAGAAAGUCUGGCUCCAACAGAGGUUUGCAAAAUAUCAAACAUGACAAAGCUCCAAGCCGAGGGACAAAUUUUGGCUUCCCUGGUUAGAAACAGCUCAUACAGCAUUGGAUAUUAAAUGACUUGCCAAAUUGUUGGGAGCACUAAAGAAACAAAAUCUAGAAGGAAUCACAGAUCAGUGCCAAGACUCUUAAGUUUGCUGCUGCCUCCUCUGUGAUCAGAAAGCCACUGGCUCCCGAAUCAUGUCACCACUGCCACGACUGGGAAGCACCAUGAUCAGGAAGCCACCGUGAUCUUGUGCGUCUCCAGCCCCAGGACCACACCAUCUUGGCUGCAAUCUGCUGCAGUAGAAUAGGCGCCCUGGGCUCAUCUCUGAACACCCACAACCAACAACUCAGUGACUGCAGGUGCCAGCAGAGAGAGCAGAAGGAGAAGAUGUUACGGCUUCUUAUUUGCUUCUGUUUUCUUAAUUUCCCUCGAGUGCCUAUGAGUGGUGGAACCUAAAUCACAUCCAGAACCUACCGGCCACAGAAUCUGGGAAACGUAGUUUCCGCUUUUGUGCUUAGGUUUUAGCUUUCCAGGCUUUGUAGCCCCCGGCUUUGAGGAUCCCACUCAAAGGAAGGCAGGAUGGAUGUUGAGUGCCAAUCUACAGAUUCAUCAUAACAUAGUAUUUCUUCUACUGGACUACAAGAAUUUGGAUCCACCUUUAUGUCUCAUCCCCCAAAGCAUCUAGCAGUUUCCAGGUAGCCAAUUGUUUGAGAUAAGGAAGUGGGUGUAGUGAGGGAAACAAAAGCGAGAAGAAUCCUGAAGUCCUAGUGCCUUGUGCAAGUUCCCACCAGGAUAUGGGUCCUCGAGGGCAGGCUAAUAUGAUCUUAGUCUUAAACUCACCUCUGUCUUAGACAUUCUCCAUUUUCCCAGCCUGCUCCCAGGCCACUUUUCACUCAUCCCCACCCUGCCUUGUGCCCUAGGAGGCUGACCUCUACAGAUGGCAUCUCCAGGUUUCCUGUGCCCUCUGACUUCUGGUUGGGCUUAGCCAAUGAAAGGCACCCGCAAAAGGUCAGAUGGAAGAAGAGAGCGGUUAGAUUAUUCACUCUCUCAGUUCCAUCCAUGCCAGUUCAGCUGUAGCCACUUCUUUCUACCUAAUGUUGGUACCCAAAUCAGCGCGUCUGUCAGGUGGCCCCAUCCACUGGCCACAGCUCUCAGGGGGUUCUGCUAACUGUUCCUUCUCUUGCCCCUUCACGGCCAGUUGUAUUAAUGGCUUCCCACUGACGCUAGUCACAGAGUGCGUUACCAUCCUUGACCUCUGCAGGGCUACUGGUUAACGAACGAGUGCCUGUUCAUUAGCUGCCAGGACAGAUGUCAGCGUGACUGCUGGCUUCCAGAGACCGUCAGUCUGCAUGUCGUAGCACCUCUUCCAGCACCAGACUUUCCACCUCCCAUGCUCCACCUCUCUGGUCAGACUUCCUUCCUUUGGCCGACGCUGGGUCUGCUUCCUCAGGACCUGUGCCGGUGGCACAUGAGGCUGGUGUGGCUCCACACAAAAGUGUCUCAAGAUCCAGGGAGCUGGGUCUGAGGGGACGACGACCGCCAGGGCCUGGAUUUAACUGCUUCAUUUCAGUUCUUCACCUGUAGAGAGGAGAAGAGCGACCACCUGUCAGGAUUGGUGCCAGGAUUAAAUAAGGCUAUGCAAACGAAACAGCUGAGUAAACUGUAGAAGGUGUUACAAAUAUUGGCUACGACACAGGCAUUUCCGCAGGCUGGCACUCUUUCCGCUCGUCUCUACUCUUACAUUUUCCCUUCUGCCAGUUAAGUUUCUUAUUAGUCGCAAAUUGAUAUCUGAACUAGUACCGCAGUCUUGGUGGUCUAAAUCCUCGUUCCAGGAGAGAGGAAUGAGGAAGUGAAAAGUCAAGGCAGAGGCGCCAUAUAAAAAGUCAUUUUCACUCCUAAAUAGAGAACUACCCAGGGGUCCUGGAAUUUCUCACUUAUUAACUUGGGAUGGAGAAUUGGCAGGAAAAGUCAUGACUGCGGUUUGCGUCUGUGGGCAGUCAAUAGCGACUUUGGCCUUGGGCUGGGUUAGACAGUUUAGAGGAAUUGUGAUAGAAUGAAACCAGAGUCAAGUGUGGCCAGUCUGCUGAUUUCCACGGCACUUGGCGUCCCAGUUGUUCCAGAUCUCCUCCGGAUCUCAGACAGCUUUUAGGGUUUUAGCUAAAAGAGUGGCCGGGACAGCUGGGCAGCCUGGCAGAGUUUUAACAGGUUUUGAAUCCUGACUUUCCAUUUUACCAGACAAAGAAGCUUUUAAAAUAUUUAGGGAGUUCUAAUUACAAGCAAUAAUGAAAGGCCUCUAAAAGAAGGCAAGCUUCAUAUGAUUAUAAAACAUUAAAGUUUUUAAAGAAUUUACUGGUUUAGAGAGAACGAUUU